rnacentral:rRNA from 1 species
UGCGUAGGCGGGUCUUUAAGUCAGGGGUGAAAUCCUGGAGCUCAACUCCAGAACUGCCUUUGAUACUGAAGAUCUUGGGUUCGGGAGAGGUGAGUGGAACUGCGAGUGUAGAGGUGAAAUUCGUAGAUAUUCGCAAGAACACCAGUGGCGAAGGCGGCUCACUGGCCCGAUACUGACGCUGAGGCACGAAAGCGUGGGAGCAAACA